rnacentral:rRNA from 1 species
GGGCCCGCACAAGCAGCGGAGCAUGUGGUUUAAUUCGAAGCAACGCGAAGAACCUUACCAGGUCUUGACAUCCUUUGACCGUCUGAGAGAUCAGAUUUUCCCUUCGGGGACAAAGAGACAGGUGGUGCAUGGUUGUCGUCAGCUCGUGUCGUGAGAUGUUGGGUUAAGUCCCGCAACGAGCGCAACCCCUAUGUUUAGUUACUAACAUUCAGUUGAGGACUCUAGACAGACUGCCCAUGAAAGUGGGAGGAAGGUGGGGAUGACGUCAAAUCAUCAUGCCCCUUAUGACCUGGGCUACACACGUGCUACAAUGGUCUGUACAAAGAGCAGCGAAACAGCAAUGUCAAGCGAAUCUCAAAAAACAGAUCUCAGUUCGGAUUGCAGGCUGCAACUCGCCUGCAUGAAGUCGGAGUUGCUAGUAAUCGCGAAUCAGAAUGUCGCGGUGAAUGCGUUCCCGGGCCUU